UGGACACAAUGGUACAGAAGUGCGUCAAGUAGAAAAAAAGAUGGGGCAGCACAGCCAGCUUUGUGCUAUGAAGCUUCAGGAGGCCAGUCAAGGUGUUGACUUAUUCCUUUAGAGGCAUAUGCCCAACCUCUUCAGACUGGGAGCUGGCAAGAGGAGCCACAUCUUACCAACAAGUUAGAAAAGAACGAUCAGGAGAUGGCAAAGUGAUGAAGAAUUGAUGACACAGCCCUGGUGCUGACUACAUUUAAGUAUCCCAGGAUCUACGUACCAUGAUGAUGUACCAGUCAUUGACAACUGUCAACUCAAACAGCGUAACUGUAUGGAGACACAAAGGACAAAACAAGUGCUUUAGCCAGCCUGACCUGUUUCAAAGUCAUUUCAAUGCCUCAGUUUCCCCUAUUACAUGCUUUCUCCCAUUUUCUUCGUAAGACACCUCAUUUCAGUAUAGCCAAAUACUUGAGUGCUGAUGACAGGAGACAGAUUCUGCUCUCAGUUACAAUGCAGUGAAU